UCAGAUACCCACGUGGGAUGCGUCACUUUGAGUACGAUGACCAACUACUGCCAAUGAAACUGAAGAUUUUACAGUAUUCCGCCAGAAAGGUCUAUCAUGGGCAUAGAAGACCAGCCAUCAGCCUCUUGGGACUGCCUGACGGAUGGACACAAUGCUGACUGUCGUUUCCUACCCCAUCCUAGAGCCAAUCAAAAUGACACACGUAACUAAGAAGAAAGCUUUUGAACUGGAAGUGUGUUUCUGCUUCCCCUUGAGAUCAAAGUUUCAAGAUCCUAGAAAGUUCUCAAUAAAUGCCUGUGACAUGGA
rnacentral:lncRNA from 1 species